ACUUAUUUAUCGCACGACAUGUUUCUGAUGCUUGCUCGUCUAACACAUUUGAUAAGUUCGUCCAAUUGUUGGUCGUUCUGUAUGUGUGGAUAGGUGUCGCUACAGCCAUUAAGGUCAUCACCAUCACUGUCAUCCGAAGGACGGCCCGAAGACAUCAUGGCAAGCAAGGCUAAAAACUGCUGAGCAGCCUGCAUCUUCACGACGACGAGGUACUCACAGUUGUGUGCAGCGUGGCAGCCAUCGUGUCUAUCACACUGAUCAUCGUGGUGGCCAUCCUGGCCGCUACGGGAAUCGUGAGCGUCAGUAUACGCAGGAAACCAGCCUUGCCGCCGAGGCUAGCGCUUAACGCCUCCGCUCGCCAUGCGGUCGACGAAGACGUGAACGAUCCGGACAGCGCCAAAAUACCGCACCCAUCCAAGACCAGCUCCUCAACUGCGACCUCGGUGCGGCCUGACGUUCAGCAACACUCGCCUCAGAACUACCGCCGUAGAUUCGGACAAUGAGCGAGAUACCAUCCUGACGCCAGAAACCGGCACCCACCCAAAAUAAACUUCCGUCAAUUACUGCGGAACUGCCCCGCACUGUAGCGA